UGAACGCUAGCUACAGGCUUAACACAUGCAAGUCGAGGGGCAGCAUGAUCGAAGCUUGCUUUGAUUGAUGGCGACCGGCGCACGGGUGAGUAACGCGUACCCAACCUCCCUAUAGUAGAGGAUAGCCCGGCGAAAGUCGGAUUAAUACUCUAUGUUUUCCGAAGCAGACAUCUAAUUUGGAACAAAGGUUCACCGCUAUAGGAUGGGGAUGCGUCUGAUUAGGUUGUUGGCGGGGUAACGGCCCACCAAGCCUACGAUCAGUAGGGGUUCUGAGAGGAAGGUCCCCCACAUUGGAACUGAGACACGGUCCAAACUCCUACGGGAGGCAGCAGUGAGGAAUAUUGGUCAAUGGGCGAGAGCCUGAACCAGCCAAAAGUAGCGUGCAGGAUGACGGCCCUAUGGGUUGUAAACUGCUUUUAUACGGGGAUAAAAUGAGGGACGUGUCCCUUUUUGUAGGUACCGUAUGAAUAAGGACCGGCUAAUUCCGUGCCAGCCGCGGC
rnacentral:rRNA from 1 species